GCAAGUAGAACGCUGAAGAGAGGAGCUUGCUCUUCUUGGAUGAGUUGCGAACGGGUGAGUAACGCGUAGGUAACCUGCCUGGUAGCGGGGGAUAACUAUUGGAAACGAUAGCUAAUACCGCAUGACAUUGAUUAUCGCAUGAUAAUAAAUUGAAAGGUGCAAUUGCAUCACUACCAGAUGGACCUGCGUUGUAUUAGCUAGUUGGUGAGGUAACGGCUCACCAAGGCGACGAUACAUAGCCGACCUGAGAGGGUGAUC
rnacentral:rRNA from 1 species